rnacentral:rRNA from 2 species
GGUGUGACUGCGUACCUUUUGUAUAAUGGGUCAGCGACUUAUAUUCUGUAGCAAGGUUAACCGUAUAGGGGAGCCGCAGGGAAACCGAGUCUUAACUGGGCGUUAAGUUGCAGGGUAUAGACCCGAAACCCGGUGAUCUAGCCAUGGGCAGGUUGAAGGUUGGGUAACACUAACUGGAGGACCGAACCGACUAAUGUUGAAAAAUUAGCGGAUGACUUGUGGCUGGGGGUGAAAGGCCAAUCAAACCGGGAGAUAGCUGGUUCUCCCCGAAAGCUAUUUAGGUAGCGCCUCGUGAACUCAUCUUCGGGGGUAGAGCACUGUUUCGGCUAGGGGGUCAUCCCGACUUACCAACCCGAUGCAAACUACGAAUACCGAAGAAUGUUAUCACGGGAGACACACGGCGGGUGCUAACGUCCGUCGUGAAGAGGGAAACAACCCAGACCGCCAGCUAAGGUCCCAAAGUCAUGGUUAAGUGGGAAACGAUGUGGGAAGGCACAGACAGCCAGGAUGUUGGCUUAGAAGCAGCCAUCAUUUAAAGAAAGCGUAAUAGCUCACUGGUCGAGUCGGCCUGCGCGGAAGAUGUAACGGGGCUAAACCAUGCACCGAAGCUGCGGCAGCGACNNNNNNNNNNNCCUGUGAGGGUUGCUGGAGGUAUCAGAAGUGCGAAUGCUGACAUAAGUAACGAUAAAGCGGGUGAAAAGCCCGCUCGCCGGAAGACCAAGGGUUCCUGUCCAACGUUAAUCGGGGCAGGGUGAGUCGACCCCUAAGGCGAGGCCGAAAGGCGUAGUCGAUGGGAAACAGGUUAAUAUUCCUGUACUUGGUGUUACUGCGAAGGGGGGACGGAGAAGGCUAUGUUAGCCGGGCGACGGUUGUCCCGGUUUAAGCAUGUAGGCUGGUUAUCCAGGCAAAUCCGGAUAAUCAAGGCUGAGGUGUGAUGACGAGGCACUACGGUGCUGAAGUAACAAAUGCCCUGCUUCCAGGAAAAGCCUCUAAGCAUCAGGUAACAUCAAAUCGUACCCCAAACCGACACAGGUGGUCAGGUAGAGAAUACCAAGGCGCUUGAGAGAACUCGGGUGAAGGAACUAGGCAAAAUGGUGCCGUAACUUCGGGAGAAGGCACGCUGGUGUGUAGGUGAAGUCCCUGCGGAUGGAGCUGAGACCAGUCGAAGAUACCAGCUGGCUGCAACUGUUUAUUAAAAACACAGCACUGUGCAAACACGAAAGUGGACGUAUACGGUGUGACGCCUGCCCGGUGCCGGAAGGUUAAUUGAUGGGGUUAUCCGUAAGGAGAAGCUCUUGAUCGAAGCCCCGGUAAACGGCGGCCGUAACUAUAACGGUCCUAAGGUAGCGAAAUUCCUUGUCGGGUAAGUUCCGACCUGCACGAAUGGCGUAAUGAUGGCCAGGCUGUCUCCACCCGAGACUCAGUGAAAUUGAACUCGCUGUGAAGAUGCAGUGUACCCGCGGCAAGACGGAAAGACCCCGUGAACCUUUACUAUAGCUUGACACUGAACAUUGAGCCUUGAUGUGUAGGAUAGGUGGGAGGCUUUGAAGCGUGGACGCCAGUCUGCGUGGAGCCAACCUUGAAAUACCACCCUUUAAUGUUUGAUGUUCUAACGUUGGCCCCUUANNNNNNNNNNNNNNNNNNNNNNNNNNNNNCGGGGUUGCGGACAGUGUCUGGUGGGUAGUUUGACUGGGGCGGUCUCCUCCCAAAGCGUAACGGAGGAGCACGAAGGUUAGCUAAUCCUGGUCGGACAUCAGGAGGUUAGUGCAAUGGCAUAAGCUAGCUUGACUGCGAGCGUGACGGCGCGAGCAGGUGCGAAAGCAGGUCAUAGUGAUCCGGUGGUUCUGAAUGGAAGGGCCAUCGCUCAACGGAUAAAAGGUACUCCGGGGAUAACAGGCUGAUACCGCCCAAGAGUUCAUAUCGACGGCGGUGUUUGGCACCUCGAUGUCGGCUCAUCACAUCCUGGGGCUGAAGUAGGUCCCAAGGGUAUGGCUGUUCGCCAUUUAAAGUGGUACGCGAGCUGGGUUUAGAACGUCGUGAGACAGUUCGGUCCCUAUCUGCCGUGGGCGCUGGAGAAUUGAGGGGGGCUGCUCCUAGUACGAGAGGACCGGAGUGGACGCAUCACUGGUGUUCGGGUUGUCAUGCCAAUGGCACUGCCCGGUAGCUAAAUGCGGAAGAGAUAAGUGCUGAAAGCAUCUAAGCACGAAACUUGCCCCGAGAUGAGUUCUCCCUGAGACUUUAAGUCUCCUGAAGGAACGUUNNGACGUUGAUAGGCCGGGUGUGUAAGCGCAGCGAUGCGUUGAGCUAACCGGUACUAAUGAACCGUGAGGCUUAACCUU